rnacentral:rRNA from 1 species
GACGAACGCUGGCGGCGUGCUUAACACAUGCAAGUCGAGCGGAAAGGCCCUGCGCGGUACCCGCGCGGGGAAGCGGCGAGUAAGACGGUAGUAACCUGCCCCCGACCCUGUGAUAACCCGCGGAAACGGGGGCUAAUACCGGAAACGCCACAGCUUUGCAUGGGGUCUGUGUGGAAAGUUGUUCGGCGUGUGUUGGGCUCGCGGUCUAUCAGCUUGUUGGUGGGGUGAUGGCUUACCAAGGCGACGACGGAUAGCCGGCCUGGGAGGGGGAACGGCCACACUGGUACUGAGAGACGGCCCAGACUCCUACGGGAGGCAGCAGGGGGGAAUAUUGCACAAUGGGCGGAAGCCAGAGGCGGAGACGCCGGGUGCGGGAUGACGGCCUUCGGGUUGUGAACCUCUGUCAGCAGGGACGAAGCGUAAGUGACGGUACCUGCAGAAGAAGCGCCGGCCAACUACGUG